CACACUCAUUGUUGAAAAGGUUAAAUUGUUUACAAUUAUGAGGAGAACUAGCGGUGCCACAUCUUAAACUCCAAAUACGAAGGAUUGUUUAACGAUAGCGUUUUCUUUGUUUGUAUUUUCGUGUGAUUAUUCUUUAUUAACUCUUUUCAACAUUUUUUAAGCUAAAUUAAGUAUGUAAGUAGUCAUUUCAUCGCUAACGGCCUUCCCCCACUCUUUAAAAAAAUAACCCCGGGCGAGACAAAAUCCGGGGUAAGUAAUUAUUAUUUUAUUAUGUAAUAUUAUUAUAUAAUAUUACUUAGUUGCUUAUUAAAUUUAUAUAAGAAAAAAUCCUUAUGCAUGGAAAGAUUGUUUGUAUUCAUUUUAAUUUGAAAUAUAAUUUAUAGACACGCUUGUUUUUAUUAGAACUAAGAUUGCUAAAUAAAGAAAUUAUAGCGACAAAGAGAAAUUUCACCGAAUUGCUCAUAUUUGCUUAUAAUCAUAUGGCAGCGCUCCUCUCCCUCAUAAUUGUUAGCACAUAAAUGAUGCUCAUUACGAGUGUAAAAAGUGAUUUUUAAAAUAGAACUUAUAAAACCUGCAAAAGUGUAAAUUGUGAAUUUGUUUAAAUGCUUAUAGUUUAAUUAAAUGAAUUUGAAGUGAGUCAUGUGUUAAAUAGCUUGUUAAAAUGUACUGAACAAUAGAUUCUAAGUGGGUUCGAACUGGACACAGGGUGCUAAAUUUUACUAAAAUUGGUUCACACAACGUGAAACGUAAUUUUUAUAUAUAAAGAUGGCCAUAAACAACUAAUACCGGACAAAAACUGCGGUACUUACUUUAUAACUGCAUUUAAAACUAAAUUAAAUUUUAAAUAUUGUUGCCAAGCUUGAAAGCUGAAAUAGCUUGAUAGCCCUGACAGACGAGCAAAAUUAAUACGCAUUGAAAUUUUAUGGUGACAGACGGCAGGCUUGUGCAUUUAGACAGCUGAUUGUGAAUUUUUUUUAUUUAUUAAAAAAAAGUGAAAUAAAAAUAAAUAAGAGAAAUUACUAAUAGAAAUUUUGGUAUUUUUGGUAAGUCAAUAUAAAUUUAAGGUUUAUUAUUAACAACGUUCAAAGAUAAUAGAGUGAAAUUAAAAGCAAGAAUUAAUUGUAAUGCGGAAUAAGUGUGCGAAAAAGUUAAGAAUAUUGGAAAAAUGGGUAGUAAACUGCGUUGUUUAUUUUCUGCCAUCUAAAAAUAUUAAAAUUUGUUUUCGAUGAUAUACUUACAUAUAAUUUAGUUAGUAAUACAAAACUGCUUACCUCUGAUGCUGUAAACACAAAGGAGGCGACAGAUUUCAACCGACAUCUGUCAAAAAAUAGCAAAAAUCGGCAAUUUUUGAACGGUGUGGCCUACUCAAAUUUGGUAAAUUCAGCUAAAUGCACGAAAUUCUUGUGCAUUACAAAUUUUCAGUAACAUGGGUCAAAUGCGCAAGUAAAUGUAUAUUAAGCCCGCUAAUGCAUAUUAGCGCUGUCGUCUGUCAGGGCUAUAAGAGAAAAGCAUAAAUGUCUAAACACUUCUCUGCACAAUUUUUUUUUUCAUGGUAAAAUUUGUAUUUGCGAGUUAAAGCAUACGAUAUUGUAUUGUACAGUAUGGCAGCACAUGUACAAUAUAAACAAGUAAGGAAGGGCUAAAUUCGGGUGCAACUGAACAUUUUAUACUCUUGCAACUUGCAAGAAUCAAAGCCAGGAAAAUACUUUAAGGUGUAAAACCAAUGAAAUAUAGUAAACUCAGUUGAAUGUUCUAAAAUUCUGAUAUUAGGCACAAAGAUGCACUGUAACUGCACUGGGAUAACUCACAUAUUGGCCGAUACAUGCGGUACAAAGUCACCCCGAAGUUCGAAAAUUUGUACAUAAAGUAUAUAGUACCUUACUUUAAGUUUAUAAUUUUUGAUCAUAAGGUUGCACACAGUAAAGAUUUUAAUUGUGCAAAGUUUUAUCUCGUUGUGUUAAUUUCUUCUUGAUUUGUGUACUGGAAAGUAAACGAAUCAAGUGAAAUUUAAAAUUCUGCUAUAUGGGAAGUAGGCGUAGCAUUUUCACAAUGUGACAUAGAAAUGUCAACAGAAUACUACAUACUAAAUUAUGUCAAAAUCGAUUGGUCGGGUCUCGAUAUAUUGGAUUUCACCAAAAAUUGGGCGGUGCCACCCCCAUCGUCCAUUUUUCAAACCGGCUCCAGUAAAACUUUCAUCUCGGUGGAAAAAUUCAAUGUUUCUGGCAUAUUAAAUUAUCGCUUUUUGUGGUUUUUAACAGUACCGUUUUAUGAGGAGAGAGCAGGGUCAUCCUCCGAUUUCAUCCGUUUUAAGACUGUCGGUAGAAGUUCUUAUAAGAUUAGUACCCACCAAAUUUGAUUAUUGUAGCUUAAGUGGUUUGGUGGUGGUUGGCGAGGCCACUCCCACUUUUUAAAAAAAUCUUUCUCAUGUGCGCUUAGCCAAUGCAAUCCUCUGUACCUAAUUACAGUUUCAUAUCUUAAUUUAAUGCUUAGUUAUGACGCUUUAUAUACUUUCGGUUAAAGACGAUUUGUGGGCGUGGCAGUGAUCCGAUUACGCCCAUCUACGUACUCGAUUUUUUUUGUACUAAGGUGUCCACAUUACCAAGUUUCAUCGAGAUAUCUCAAUUUUUACUCAAGUUACACUUAUAAAUAUAACCCUAUAUCUAUCUUUUAGGUUUAGGUGAUACGUACAACCGUAAGGUGAACAAAACUAUAACACUCUGUAGCAACUUGAUCCAAGAGUAUAAAAAUUAGUGAGUCAACUUUGAGAAGAGAAAUAAAAGAAGUUAACUAAUAGACAAAUUCCAAGAGCUUAUAACAAAUUAUAAAAUUGUACGCAUUUUAACAAUGCUCUUUUGACAAUUAAGUAAUGAGACUGAUUUUAUUGCCGCGCUUGUGGUAAACCUGUGACCUGAAAUUCCCUUUCUCUUUUUUCGACAUCCCUCCCCUCUCCAUUGAUAUAUGCACCAUCGCUCUAGCUUGUUUAGUUCGUCUGCUGCUUCAAGUUGAGUAGACGUGUGUUUGUAGUUUGAUUAGUUUGAUAGUUCUCUUAGAAACGAAAACUAAUCGCCAAAGCUCACAAUGGUUGUCGCGCGCCCCCCGCCCGGAAAAAGUUCGCAUGAGCUAGUCGAAGGUGAAAACGAUGAUUAUUGUCUUUUUUAAUAAUGGUGGAAUAGUCCACAAAGAAUUCGUACCACCUUCCUCAACUGUGAAUCAAGUCUACUAUUGCCAAAUACUCGAAAUAUUGCGAAAAUGAGUCAACAGGGUGCGACUAGACAUCGCUCUUAACUUAACUCUUCAUCACGACAACGCGCCAUGCCACACCGCCCUCAGCGUGUUUGGCUUCUAAAGGGAUCGCCGUGUUGCAACAGCCGCCUUAUUCGCCCGACAUGUCAUCCAGGCGGUCGUGACGAGUGUACUCGCGAACAUCCCAGUCGAAGCGUUCUAGAAAUGUUAUGAAGCAUGGUAAACGCGCUGGAAUCGCUGUUUAGCUGCCCAAGGGGACUACUUUGAAGAGGAUGACAGAGUUGUAGAAUAAUUUUCAAAUACGCGAUUUUUAUGGAAUCAGUCUCAUUACUUAAUUGUCAUACCUCGUAUUUUUACCAUUAUCGUGCAUAUAGUAUGCACCUUGUUUAGUGUCGAACAGUUCGCAGAGAUCUUUCCUAUUUGCGAUGUUGACGAGGCUUUUCUCAGUGUAGUUGGCGUAGAUUGUUGGGUCGUCCUUUAUGUGGAUUGAGCAGAGAUAACUCAAAUUCCAACUUUCGUCCAACCAUAUUUUACAAAGAAGCUGAUGCAUACUCCUUAUCAGUUCUUUGCCGCCGUGCUUGUAAAGCUCGGCCGGCAAUCCAUCGGCCCCCCCUGCUUUGUUCUUCUUCAGACAGGUAAUUGCUUCUUCAUGGUCGGGCAAUGAAACGCCUGCUCCAUCCUCAUCGAUUGGGGAAUCGGGCUCGCUUUCUUCUCGUGUUGUACUUUCAGUGCCAUUCAGCAGGCUGGAGAAGUGUUUCCUCCAUAAUUUUAGUAUGCUCUCAGCAUCCGUUACCAAUUCACCUGCUGUUGGUCGCCACAUCCUUUUGUAAAAUUUUCGAGCAUUAUCCUUGUCGGCCAGCUUUAAGCUCUCUCUCUCUCUCCCAUCCUGCACGUGUUGUGGUCGAUCGUAACGUUGCGAGGUAAACAAUCUCUUUUCUCUCCGCUGCAACACGGCAUUCCUCGUCGUACCAGCUGUUUCCAUUUUCCGAAAACCAAUGGUUUCGGUUGCAGCUGUACGUGAGGAGCUUUAAAUAGCACGAUUUUGACAUCGUGACAGGGGCAGCUCUCAUAGUUUCGCUCUAAGCGCUCAUAGAAGGCAUCUUUGGUCCCAUCAUCCUUCUCUUCCGUCGGGCCGUGGACGCAAAUCAGCAAUAUGUUGAAGAACCUCGCUUUGAUGCAGACUGCGGCUAGACGUUCAUUCACCGGAGUGAAUGAUAGUAUUCGGCGACGGAGUCUCUCUCCCGCGGCGAAUCCCAAAAUGGUCUAGUUGGCCGCCAGGGUCGUGCAUUUUGACGCCGUUAGAUUAUUUCUUGUGGGGCUUCGUCAAAUCUAUGGUCUAUGCCAACAAACCAGCGACGAUUGAUGAACUUCGUAAGAAUUUCAAACGUGAAAUCUCAGCAUUAUCGGCCGAUUUAUGCUUAAAAACCGUCGAAAAUUGGAUUGAUCGUCUGCAUUUCUGCAAGCGCGCCCAUGGUGACCACGCAAAAGAAUCGAACUUCAUACAUAAUGGCAUCGAAUGUACUUUCAUACGAAGAAAAAAUUUCAUUGAUAUUCCAAACCGUUCUUAUUUUAUGAAACAAAAAAAUCUUUUCUAACGCUCUUAUUGAAAAACCCUUAACUUGCAUUUGAACUUUUUGACACACUUUUGCUACUCUAACUAAGAUAUCAUUUGAUGCCAAGUCAAGACUUUACGGUAGAUUACAUAUAAAAUACAGUUUUUUCAUGGGUGCGAUAUGUUCAGUUUAAAAAAAAUAAAUAAAAAACAAGAAAACAUUUGCUUGAAAGUGUUUGCGCGCGAACAACUUUUGUUGGAUUCUGCUCAUUUUGAUCCUUACUUUCGUCUUCUUCUACGCGAUUAUAGCCGAGUUAACAACAGCCCGCCAUUCGUUUCUUCUUUUCGCUACGUGGCGUCAAUUGGAUAUUCCAAGCGAAGCCAGGUCCUUCUCCACUUGGUCGUUCCAACGGAGUGGAGGUCUUUCUCUUCCUCUGCUUCCCCCUGGCGGAUACUGUGUCGAAUACUUUCAGAGCUGGAGUGUUUUCGUCCAUUCGGACAACAUGACCUAGCCAGCGUAGCCGCUGUAUUUUAAUUCCCUGAACUAUGUCAAUGUCGUCAUACAUCUCAUACAGCUCAUCGUUCCAUCGAAUGCGAUAUUCGCCACUGUAGUAAAUGCCGCAAGGACUACUUGUCUCAGUUCUUGUCCCAUUCAUCGCAUUUCUUGGACUGCAGUGAUCUCAGCCUUUAUUUUCGUGAGGACAUCAACCAGCUGGGGAGCGGCACCUUCCCAAUUAAGGGUCCGGACAUUCCAGGUGCAUGCCCUCAAAUCGUAAUUCAUAACUCGUUUGCCAUGGUCGUCCUCAAAAGGGGGAUCUCUUAUCCGAGGCAGAUUAAUAUUUUUCAUUGGGGGUGUUUUUUUUACGUGGCGUGUCCCGAACCCAGCGCACAACCCUAUGUAGGGGAUGUUUCGCCUUCUUACUUUAGCUCGCCUUUAAACGGAUGUUCUUGGGCUACCCAGAGGAUACUUGGUCAAAGACCGGAUGUCGUGAGCGGGCUUAAGCCAUAUUUAAAAUAAUCAUUUCUGGCCACUCUCAAGUGAAUGACGAUCAGGGCGAUCAGAGACUUUCCUCACUUGCGGGCAAUUGCUUUGAAAGGCCGGUUUCAAUUUUUUAAGGUAUGGUCAAAUGUCGAUAUUAACAUUUUUGUGUAGUUGUACAAUUUGUGUAUAUAUUGUCAUAGUUCUAGGUGUUAGAUUCACUUUUUAUAUUCCUAUGGUGGAUAGUUGAAUGUAUACCUUUUUUUAACAAAAAUGUUAAACCUUUCAAAAUGGAGAACUUUGAGUAGGUAUCCAUCGUUUACACUGAAAUUUCCUCGUUUCAACUAUUAUGGCUUCAGUUUUGUUUCGCCUUUCGCUUUCACUCAAUUGAUAAAUUAGUAGACAUCCGUGUCACUUUCGCGUUUUAUUUGUAAACUUUUUGCUACUCACAGAAAUUAAUCUGUUCUAAUUAAUUUCGAAUAUUGUAUUGAGUAAAUAAACGUUGGUCAUAAUUGACGGAUAUAUCAAAAUUUAUUGUUUAAGAAACAUUGCGUCAAAUAUAAAAUUUUACGUUUUAACUUUGACAAAAAAAAUCAAAAUUGUACUAUGACUGAUUGGAGCAAAGUCAUAUAUUCAUGAGUGACGAAAAGGGAACAUAACGCUCACAUUAAAUGUGAUUUAAAGUCGCAUGACCCUGGAAGGUGUUGGUAAAUAUUUGGAAGUCGAAUUAAAAGGUAACUUAAAUUUAUGAGGAAAGAACUUUGGGACGUUAUAUGUAUUUCAACACCGAAGAAUUUCUGAUUACACGUCAAAAAUUGCAACGACGAAAUGUGGAACCGCAUCCGUAUAUGUGGGUCUAGAGGACGGAAUCUUGUGGAGGGUAUGUUCAGAAACUCUCUGUUGUUUUAGAUAAAACACUAAGUAUUAAAAUCAGUUUGAAUAAAAGUAAAGUUUGCUAAAAAAAUAGAUAAAUACAUAUGUACAUGAGUAUAAAAUAGCAGCUAAUGUCAAAAAAACAUGUAUUUUUCAUAUUAAUCAAUGAAAAUAUUCAUUAAAGGAGUCUUUGUGUUUAGAUAUUAUUUACUUCAGAAUUUUCUUUAUGAUUGAUAUAUUUAAAUCAACAUUUAAAAUCAAAAUAUAUAGACUUAAACAACUUCGAUAUUAUACAAGGUGCUUUACAAAGUAAUCUGCAUAACGCUUUCCUUUCAUAAACAAAUGCAUUUUUCCGAAUAGGAAGAAGUCGCACGGUGCAAUCAGCUGAAUAUGGGGAGUGUUUAAUGGUUAAAAUGUGAUUUUUGGUCAAAUAAUCGGCCACAAGUGUCGAUCGAUGAGACGGCGCAUUAUCGUGCAAUAAACGCCAACUUUCCUCUUCGCAAUAUUCGGGCCGAACAUGUCGAAUACGGCACACCAAACGCUUCAAAAUUCCAAGGUAGAAUACCGCAUUAACGUUUUGACCGGGUGGAACAAAUUCUUUGUGGACAAUACCCUUGGAAUCAUAAAAACAAAUCAGCAUUGUCUUCACUUUUUACUUCUCACUCUCUAUUCAACACUCUGGCGAUACGUUUCGGGAUCAUAUUGGAAACACCACGUUUCGUCGCCGGUCACAAUAUUGUAAAGGAAGUUUUUGUCCAUUUUGACCGCUUUGAAGAUGUCUUUCGAAUGUUGUAUUCUGAGCAUUUUUUGGUCGUCGGUCAAUUUGUGUAGAACAAACGGUGCUAACACCUUUCGUAAGCCUAAAUGUUCGGUCAAAAUGCAAUAAAGCGAUGUUUUGGAUAUGUUCAAUUCCAUUUCCAUUAAUUUCAAUAAUGAUUUCGGCUAAUUUUUGAUGAAUUCACGCACAGUUUCAAUGGAAUUUCCGGUGAUCACGGAUUUUGAUUGGCUCACAUGUUGAUCUUCAUUUAUGUCCCCACGACCACUUUGAAAACGUUGAAACCACUCGUGCACUCUGCUAUGGGAAAGGCAAUCAUCGCCAUAAACUUAUUUCAUCAAUUGAAACGUUCCGGUAAAAGUUUUACCAAUUUUAAAACAUAUUUUAAUGUUAGCUCUUUGGUCGAAGAUCAUUUUCGCACCGAUAACCCAAAUAUACUGUUUCAUCAAUUGAAACGUUUCGAAAAAAGUUUUACCAAUUUUAAAACAUAUUUUAAUUUUAGAUCUUUGUUCGAAGAUCAUUUUCGCACCGAUAACACAAAUAUACUGUCCCUUGAAACACAAUAUCUUCAUUUCCAAUCAAUCAAACGUCAUGAAACUCUCGCUGACAAUCGAUAAAGAUAGCAGAGACACCAGGGAGCGGUAGAUUUAAAAAGUCCUGUUUACUUUGGAACGCACCUUGUAAGAGUGAUACACAAAUUUUUGAUAUGGUAGUAAGCUUGAGCUUUUGGCAAGGGCAUGAAUAAUGAAAAUUUGCAUUGUCGUUAUGGACCAGUUUAUAUACAUAUAUUAUAUUUGUUAUACUUUUUCUAAAUUAACCGAAAGUAUAAAAACGUCUUGAGUUUUUCAUAUAUAAAAAAGUAGCUAUAUAUAUUCCAAUUUUGUUUAAAAAUAUCUAUAAAAGAAACACAUUUUUCAUUUCAGCUGCUUUCCCGGAAUUUACAGUGGCGAACAAAAAUCUACAUACACCCCCUAUUUCCAUUGAUAUGAGUGCACAAAAAGUUUUUAGAAAAAUGUAUUUAUACAGUUUUAUUCUAAUAUUUAUUAUAAUAACAAUUAACUAAAAAAAUUCUUUAUUUAACAUAAAACAACAAAUUUAUGGAAGAAACACUCAAAAAUUGCUUUGACAAAAGUCUACAUACAGUUCAAAUCUCAUUCUAUGUACAUUGUAAUAUUAACUUACUGGUAACGUUAGCCUUUUUUUAUUUCAGUGUGUUUAUUGUUUGAUAUUUAUUGAAUUUAGUUGUGGUUUAAACAUUUCAAUAGCUAUAAUGGCUCCGCGAAAUGAAAUAUCAAUUGAUGUAAGAAAUUUGGUGAUAAAAGUAAUUUCUAAAAUUUUAAACUUGAGUCGAGCAACAGUACAGACAAUUCUAAAAAACUGGUUCCAACGAAAAUAAACCGCGCAGUGGACGCCCAAAAAAACAAUCUCGUAGAGACGUCAGCCUGAUUCUCAACGAAGUAGACCAAAAUCCAAAAGUAAAUGCUCCAAAUAUAGCCGAACGCAUAGUAAGUACGUCACAAAUAAGUAUCCAACCAAGAACAAUAAAAAAAAACUCCAAACGAUAACGGAUUCCACAGUAGAACACCACGGAAGAAACCUUUUAUUUCUGAAAAAAUCGGAAACUUCGUUUAAAGUUCGCCAAGAAACACAAAGAAAAGGAAAUGGAUUUUUGGAAAAAAGUUUCAUUUACAGAUGAUUCUAAAUUCACCCUUUUUGGUAGUGAAGAAAGGGCUAAAAUUUGAAGGAAAACUAACGCCACGCUUGAACCGAAGAACGUAGUAUCAAUUGUGAAGCUCGGUGGCGGCAGCGUAAUGGUUUGGGGAGCUG